CUUGGUCGAAGUCAACUGAUGUCACAACACACCAUACAAUACAAUUAUUAUGUAUAAAUUCAAGAAUUAGAUCAAUUUCAUGGUAUUGUAUAUUAUCCUUAAGUAUCUUCCUCCCCGCUUCUCUCCAAAUUCUUCACUGAAAACGAAAUACCAUUUGGUUUGUAAAUGGGUUUAGAAUCUGAUGAGUGGAAGGUGAUCUUGGGGGUAGAUGGCGGCACCACCUCCACUGUAUGUGUUUGCAUGCCACUUCUUCCCUUUUCCGGCAUUCAUAAUCUCCCUGAUCCUCUUCCAAUUCUCGGACGCGCCGUUACCGGCUGCUCCAAUUUUAAUAGUGUUGGAGAAGAUGUAGCUAGAGAAACACUGGAAAAGGUUAUAGCAGAAGCCUUGUUUGGUGCUGGUGUCAAACGAUCAGCUGUUCAAGCAGUUUGUUUGGGUUUAUCCGGUGUGAACCAUUCAAAGGAUCAGGAAAAAAUAUUAGGCUGGCUGAGGAGCACAUUCCCAAGUCAUGUUAAGUUGUAUAUUCAGAAUGAUGCCGUGGCUGCUCUAGCAAGUGGCACGAUGGGAAAACUUCAUGGUUGUGUUUUAAUAGCUGGUACUGGAAGCAUUUCUUAUGGAUUUACUGAAGAUGGAAGAGAAGCUCGGGCCUCAGGUGCAGGGCCUGUUUUGGGUGAUUGGGGGAGUGGCUAUGGGAUUGCAGCUCAGGCAUUGAUUGCAGUGAUGAGGGCUCAUGAUGGUCGAGGUCCACAAACAAUGCUCUCAAGUUGUAUUCUACAGUCACUAGGUCUUUCUUCUCCAGACGAACUCAUAGGGUGGACCUAUGCGGAUCCAUCUUGGGCUCGCAUUGCAGCACUUGUUCCAGUAGUUGUAUCCUGUGCGGAGGAUGGUGAUCGAAUUGCUGACGAGAUCUUACAUAAUGCAGUUCAAGAGUUGGCUCUAAGUGUCAAAGCUGUUGUCCAAAGACUACAUUUGGCUGGGGAAGAUGGAAAAGGCUCCUUCCCUGUUGUUAUGGUUGGAGGCGUACUUGGAGCUAACAAGAAGUGGAAUAUAGGGAAUGAAGUUACUAAUUUUAUUUUAAAGACUUAUCCUGGAGCUUGUGUAAUUAGACCGAAGUAGAAGGAUCGCUAUAACUGAGAGGAUUUUUUAAUCAAGCCAAGAGGGAAGUGUUUUCACACCAUCGACCGACAUCGACUCAUCCCAAUCUUUAAGGAAGAGAUCGAUGAUCCCAAGUUCUUUUACCCCAUUCUGAAAGGCCACCUUUUGAUUGCAGCCAAGGCAAGAAUGCCACGAAUGAAUUUCAGAGCUCUCACGCGGCUAUCUAAAGAAUGAAGAACCGCUACUGAACGAGAGCGAGUGAAAUGAAAUUGCUGCAUCUGAGCCGAGGAUCUUUCGGAAACAGUCUCUCUGCCUCCACGAGGUAGUGGUAAGGUGGAGCCUGCAGUAGGAGCUGCUUUACUUGCAUUAAAUUUUCUGAUGAAAGAAACAGUAGCGAAUGGACACAGUUGAAACCUGAU